GUGCUCCCUUCGGCAGCACAUAGACUAAAAUUGGAACAAUACAGAGAUUAGCAUGGCCCCUGUGCAAGAAUGACACACAAAUUUGUGAAGCGUUCCAUAUUUUA